AUUGAACGCUGGCGGCAUGCCUUACACAUGCAAGUCGAGCGGUAACAGGCGUAGCAAUACGUGCUGACGAGCGGCGAACGGGUGAGUAAUGCUUUGGAAUCUUCCCAGUAGUGGGGAAUAACCAGUCGAAAGAUUGGCUAAUACCGCAUACGUCUGUGAAGGGAAAGCGGGGGAUCGCAAGACCUCGCGCUAUUGGAUGAGCCAAAGUCGGAUUAGCUAGUUGGUGAGGUAAUGGCUCACCAAGGCGACGAUCCGUAGCUGGUCUGAGAGGACGACCAGCCACACCGGAACUGAGACACGGUCCGGACUCCUACGGGAGGCAGCAGUGGGGAAUAUUGGACAAUGGGGGAAACCCUGAUCCAGCGACGCCGCGUGUGUGAAGAAGGCCUGCGGGUUGUAAAGCACUUUUAGUGGGGACAAAAAGCCACCGGCUAGUACCGGGUGGUCUUGAUUUAACUCACAGAAAAGCACCGGCUAACUCUGUGCCAGCAGCCGCGGU
rnacentral:rRNA from 1 species